GCAAACUUGGUCAUUUAGAGGAAGUAAAAGUCGUAACAAGGUUUCCGUAGGUGAACCUGCGGAAGGAUCAUUAUUGAACAAAAAUUAAGCAGGGCUGCUGCUGGCUUGGAGGAGCAUGUGCACGUCUUGUUUUAUUUUAAAUCCUCCUGUGCACUAGUGGUAGAUUCUUAAGGCAAUAAGCAAUUUCAAAGGGCUCUAGAGACACCUUUGGUGAGAAGAAAUUAGCAGCGCUAAAAAGGUGCAGCUUUUCUUUGCAAAAGUUGCCUGGGAGAGCUCUACUGUAUCAAGUUACCAUGUCAUAUGAAUGUUCAGAAGGUUGAACAAAAAUUAGACUUUGUGUCUUUUUUAUAAUUGCAUACAACUUUCAACAACGGAUCUCUUGGCUCUCGCAUCGAUGAAGAACGCAGC
rnacentral:misc_RNA from 1 species